ensembl:lncRNA
GGAUAACAAAAAAGGGCGGCAUGCCAUUCUUUUAUUAGUAAAAACAAAUAUAAAGGUUAUGUAAAUGGAAAGGGAAACGAUGUAAACAAAAAUGUAAACAAGUGUUAAUUGGCAUUUGCUGCAAGGUUAACGAAACCCACCUGCACUGAUUAAUGUGUAUUCAGUCUGUGGCUCAAAAUAAGUCCAUGUCAAUGAGCAAAAAUUUCAAUAACAGCAUGUUCUUAGAUGUUAACAACUCUGAUCUCGAGGUGUAAAUAUCAAAAGGUGCAUUUAGUGUAGUUCCGCAAACAUGUUCAUGAAAGUGUUGGUUCAUAUUGAUCACUGCAGAUUUUCUGUUACUGAUUAAUUCUCAAAUCUGAUUGGUCAGAAGGUUAAUUUUCUAUUACAUUAUCUGAUUGGUCAGAAGGUUAAUUUUCUAUAACAUCAUCUGAUUGGUCAGAAGGUUAAUUUUUAUAACCUCAUCUGAUUGGUCAGAAGGUUAAUUUUCUAUUACAUCAUCUGAUUGGUCAGAAG